rnacentral:rRNA from 1 species
AGUGAACGCUGGCGGUAGGCCUAACACAUGCAAGUCGAACGGCAGCACAGAGGAGCUUGCUCCUUGGGUGGCGAGUGGCGGACGGGUGAGGAAUACAUCGGAAUCUACUCUGUCGUGGGGGAUAACGUAGGGAAACUUACGCUAAUACCGCAUACGACCUACGGGUGAAAGCAGGGGACCUUCGGGCCUUGCGCGAUUGAAUGAGCCGAUGUCGGAUUAGCUAGUUGGCGGGGUAAAGGCCCACCAAGGCGACGAUCCGUAGCUGGUCUGAGAGGAUGAUCAGCCACACUGGAACUGGGACACGGUCCAGACUGCGACGGGAGGCAGCAGUGGGGAAUAUUGGACAAUGGGCGCAAGCCUGAUCCAGCCAUACCGCGUGGGUGAAGAAGGCCUUCGGGUUGUAAAGCCCUUUUGUUGGGAAAGAAAUCCAGCUGGCUAAUACCCGGUUGGGAUGACGGUACCCAAAGAAUAAGCACCGGCUAACUUCGUGCCAGCCGCCGCAGUAA